AACACCCUUCCUCUCUCCGCUGGAGGAAAAGUUUGGGAACUUUAGCCCGGGAAGGGGCGUGGAGAGAUGCGCGGGCCGGGCUCCAGACCACCGGAACCCGCCCACCCGGACCGUGGACUUUAAGGUCUAGAGAGAGCAUGGGGUCCCACCUCUGCCACCUCUCAUCUUCCCGGAGUCCCGUCCUUUUCCCACCCACGCGCUCUUUCCCAAGUCAAGUUCCUUCCCUUCCGUCUGGUCUCAGAAAUGACUCUUGGUUACCUGUACACACACCAGCUUUCAGAACUGACUUUUCAGUCUCCUGUUUUACUACCAAUUCCUGGUGCCUGGAAACAACCAGACGCAUCAAAAAUUCCAGAAACAAACAGUCUCGAAGAAAUAAGGACAGUGAGCAGUGGAACAGACAACCCCCUCAACUAUAAGAAAUACCUUUGUUGGGUGUCCAGAGUGUUCAUUCCUCCAACAAGCGUUGGUUUCCAGAUGAUGUGUGAGAUGAUACUUAGGAAUCAGCAUGGAACAAGUAAACAAACAAAGGGAGAUGGGCAAUGAAGAAACAGCACUUUUGGAAAUUUGAGGACCUAUAAGAAGAUAUGAAAUAGCCGAUAUUCUUCAGUCUUACAAUUUCAAAAUAUCAACUUGGUCUGCCUGGUUUACGAAAUACUCAAUGUGAUUCUGAGAGUAUGAAGAAUUUCUCAACUGAUAAUUUCUCAGUCUUUCUACCAGCAAAGAGAUUAGCUGGUACAGUGAUUAGCUGGUACAGUGAUUGCCAAUAUCUAAGCCGCCAAAUAGCAAAUGCUUGAUUCAUGUUCCUAAGCUAUAAGGAUUGGCCAAAACAUUUCCUCACCAGAGCACCACAUCUCACCCUUUUCUGUGUGUAUAGCCACAGCACAAAGUAUUGCUAUUACUCUCAGGAUACAAUGACUAAAGUUU